rnacentral:rRNA from 1 species
UACGUAGGGUGCAAGCGUUGUCCGGAAUUAUUGGGCGUAAAGAGCUCGUAGGCGGUUCGUCGCGUCGGCUGUGAAAUCCCGAGGCUCAACCUCGGGUCUGCAGUCGAUACGGGCGGACUGGAGUACUGCAGGGGAGACUGGAAUUCCGGGUGUAGCGGUGGAAUGCGUAGAGAUCCGGAGGAAGACCGGCGGCGAAGGCGGUCUGCUGGGCAGUUUCUGACACUGAUGCGCGACAGCGUGGGGAGCAAACAGG